AUUGAACGCUGGCGGCAUGCCUUACACAUGCAAGUCGAACGGCAGCACGGGAGCAAUCCUGGUGGCGAGUGGCGAACGGGUGAGUAAUGUAUCGGAACGUGCCCAGUCGUGGGGGAUAACGUAGCGAAAGCUACGCUAAUACCGCAUACGACCUGUGGAUGAAAGCGGGGGACCGUAAGGCCUCGCGCGAUUGGAGCGGCCGAUAUCAGAUUAGGUAGUUGGUGGGGUAAAGGCCUACCAAGCCGACGACCUGUAGCUGGUCUGAGAGGACGACCAGCCACACUGGGACUGAGACACGGCCCAGACUCCUACGGGAGGCAGCAGUGGGGAAUUUUGGACAAUGGGCGCAAGCCUGAUCCAGCAAUGCCGCGUGCAGGAUGAAGGCCUUCGGGUUGUAAACUGCUUUUGUACGGAGCGAAACGGCUUCCACUAAUACUGGGGGCUAAUGACGGUACCGUAAGAAUAAGCACCGGCUAACUACGUGCCAGCCGCCGCCGUAA
rnacentral:rRNA from 1 species